GGAGUGGGCCAGACGACCGCUGCGGAUUGAUCCGGAGAGGAAAGUCCGGGCUCCACAGGGCAAGGCGCCGGUUAACGGCCGGGGGGCGUGAGCCUACGGAAAGUGCCACAGAAAAUAUACCGCCAAGCGCGCAAGCGCCGGUA
rnacentral:RNase_P_RNA from 1 species